rnacentral:lncRNA from 15 species
GGGGAAUAAGUCAAACUUGUGUCUCUUCUGCUGCUCAGAUUCAGGUUCUAGUUGUGGCACAGUCUGAUGAACCAAACAUCGACGACAUACCGGUUGGGCUCCUCUUGAUCAGUGCCAAUUCAACAGAUGCCACGUUCUUCUGCCCAGAGAGGAUUGCGGUUGUGCUUGAGGGUAACAUAGUUAUCGAAUGCACCACAUUGGCUGACGCAUUUGUCAUGCUUUUUGCACUGAUUUAUGCCUUGCACCUUAGUUACCCAAAAGGCUUGGCCAAUACAUUUGACUUUACCCAGAAAGUCUUGAUGGGCCUGGAAGAUGGGAAGUUGAGGCCCAGGGUGUUGAGCCUUAAAAAUGACAUUUUGGAAGUGGAGUAAUUUCACUGUAUAAACAAACAAAGCUAGCUGACAGUUGUUUGACCGUCAGCUCCUUUAAGGACAGUUGCUCCUUUACUUGAAACUUUUCAUAUGCACAUGCACUACUGUCUUUUGGGCAUACCAUAGAGCUAUGAAAGGAUUUUUUUUUUUUUUGAAGCAUCUUAUAGAUGCGUUUUGAAAGUAUUAUUGUUCACCUUAAAGUUUGAUAGUGUUUGUACUGUAUGGAUGUAUGGAAAACAUUUUGCCAUACUGUUUAUACUGCAGUACCCAUUUCUUAGAUAUUUCAAAGUGUAUUAGGUCUUUAUGGGGCAGUUGGUAAAUCAAUGAGCAGAACUGUUUAUGGAAAUCUUUGAUUUUAGUGUGAAUGUGAUGAAGUACCUUGAAUUUGUAAGGUAUUUAAUUGGCUGAAUCAACCAACCACAGACUUUCCCAUCUGGUUACUUUAUCCAUAAAAAUGACUAUCAAGACAUAUAUACUGAUAAAAUGACAUGCCGUGCAUUCGUCCACUCAUAGAAGUGAUGGUUUAAAAACACUUUACUCCGGCCAUUUCCUUAGGCCCUUGCACUAUUUUUAAAAUACUGUCAUUUCUAUUUCUGAUGUCACUGUUUGACUUUUGACUGUUUCAUGAAUACGAUUGUGAUUAGGGUGAUAUACACAUAUAUCUGUAUACUGUGAAAAGUGUCAACCACCAGAAAUUUUGCCUUUAUGCCUAUAAUAAGUCAAAAUGCUUCAAUAUCUACAUUUAUUUGGCCACUAUGUGUAAUGUGCCGAAUGGUUUAUUAUGAUUUUGGCAUCAAUGUGAUACAGUGCCUAGUCAGGUAUUUAAUCUACAGAUUAACCAAAUGCAUACACAUUUAAAAAACACUGUCACACUAUAUAUCAUCACAAUGAAAAGUUGCAUUUUAUUCAUAUUGUCCACUUCUAGAGGUGAUUGUCAGGGCUAGUUGACUGAACCCAAGUGCAGACACACACUUAUCUCUCUCUCUCUCUCUCUCUCUCUCUCUCUCUCUCUCUCUCUCUCUCACACACUCACACUCACUCUCACACACACACACACACACACUCAGGGGGAUGAGGGGCAGCCACGGCAGGAACAGACAGGUGAAAUGGCAAGGGAGCCAUGAAAGUUACCACUAAGUUGGCUGAACAAUCUGGCGAUUAAUGGGAGGAAGACCGGGGUUCUUGAAGGCUGAGCUGAUGAAUUGAUUGAGCGCAGGUGAGACAGCACACAGGUGAGGUGAAUAGAGGCCGCACCCUCAUCAGACACACACACAGGGAAGGAGGAGGAGCAAAGGGAGCAGGAGGGGAGCAGAGCCAUGACAGUGAUAAUUCCUCAGGCCAUUUCCCAAGGCCCUUGCACUGUUUUUAAAGUGUUUGUUUCCAUUCGCCAAACAUUUUUUAUAGUUCAUGUUUGGUUAAUGUUAUAUGGUUGUUCAAUAAAAGAGUGACUUCAUUUAAUCUGGCUGUUAACAUGUUUUGUUUUUUUUUAUGUUUAGGC